UUGAGUUUGUGUCUUUUUUGAACUUGCGUUUCUGUUGUUUUUGAACUAGAGGUUGUGGAAAUUGUUAAACUUGAGAAUCAGGUGUUGGUUGAAUUUGAGCUUGUGUGUCUGUUGAAUUUGAGUUCGUGCCGUGUGUUUCAACUUUAGUUUGUGGUGUUUUUGAACUUGAGUUUUUUUGUUUGUUGAACUUGAGUUAUUGUUGUGUUUGAACAUGAGUUUGUGGUGUUUUCGAACUUGAGUUGGUUUCGUGUUUGAACUAGAGUUUGUGGCAUUUUUUGAACUUGAGUAUGUGUCGUGUUUGAACUUGAGUUGGUCGUGUUUUUGAACUUGAGUUUGUGUGUUUGUUGAACUUGAGGGUGUGGCAAUUGUCCAACUUUAGUUUGUGGUGUUUUUGAACUUGAGUUUUUGUGUUUGUUGAAUUUGAGUUAUUGUUGUGUUUGAACAUGAGUUUGUGGUGUUUUUGAACUUGAGUUGGUUUCGUGUUUGAACUAGAGUUUGUGGCAUUUUUUGAACUUGAGUAUGUGUCGUGUUUGAACUUGAGUUGGUCGUGUUUUUGAACUUGAGUUUGUGUGUUUGUUGAACUUGAGGGUGUGGCAAUUGUCCAACUUGAGUUUGUGGUGUUUUUGAACUUCAGUUUUUGUGUUUGUUGAAUUUGAUUUUUUGUGUUUUUUUGACUUGAGUAUUUUUCAUAUUUGAACUUGAGUUUGUGGCGUUUGUUGAAAUUGACUGUGUGUUUUUGAACUUGAGGUUGUGGCAAUUGUUAAACUUGAGAUUUGGGUGUUGGUUGAACUUGAGUUUGUGUUGUGUUUGAACUUGAGUUCAUGUUGUUUGUUGAACGUGAGUUUUUGUGUUUUUUGAACUCGAGGUUGUGAAAAUAUUUAAACUUGAGAAUGAGUUGUUGGUUGAACUUGAGUCUGUGUUGUUUUAGAACUUGAGUUUGUGGUGUGUUUGAACUUGAGUUUUAUGUGUUUGUUGAACUUGAGGGUGUGGCAAUUGUUAAACUUGAGAUUUGGGUGUUGGUUGAACUUGAGUUUUUGUUGUUUUUGAACUUGAGUUUGUGGUGUUUUUGAACUUCAGUUAGUGUGUUUGUUAAACUUAAGUUUAUGCUGUGUUUGAACUUGAGUUAUUGGUGUUUUUGAAAUUGACUUUGUGUCGUUGAACUUGAGUUUGUGGUGUUUGUUGAACUUGAGUUUGUUGCAAUUGUUAAACUUGAAAUUUGGUUGUUGGUUGAACUAUGGUUUGUGUCGUGUUUGAACUUGAGUUUGUUUUGUGUUUGAACUUGAGUUUGUGGUUUUUGUUGAACUUGAGUUUGUGUCAUGUUUGAACUUGAUUUUUUGGUGUUUUUGAACUUGAGUUUGUGAUGUGUUAUUGAACUUGAGUUGGUUUCGGAUUUGAACUUGAGUUUGUGUCGUGUUUGAACUUGAGUUUGUGGUGUUUUU